GUGGGGAAUAUUGCGCAAUGGGGGAAACCCUGACGCAGCGACGCCGUGUGAGGGAAGAAGGCUUUCGGGUCGUAAACCUCUGUCAGAAAGGAAGAACCUCCCAAGUCCGAAUAGGGCUUGGGACUGACGGUACUUUCAAAGGAAGCACCGGCUAACUCCGUGCCAGCAGCCGCGGUAAUACGGAGGGUGCAAGCGUUAAUCGGAAUCACUGGGCGUAAAGCGCGCGUAGGCCGCUUUGUAAGUCGGACGUGAAAGACCUCGGCUCAACCGGGGAACUGCGUUCGAUACUGCGAGGCUUGAGUCCUGGAGAGGGUGGCGGAAUUCCGGGUGUAGGAGUGAAAUCCGUAGAUAUCCGGAGGAACACCGGUGGCGAAGGCGGCCACCUGGACAGGUACUGACGCUGAGGCGCGAAAGCGUGGGGAGCAAACAGGAUUAGAAACCCCUGUAGUCC
rnacentral:rRNA from 1 species